rnacentral:rRNA from 1 species
GGUGGUAAUGCCGGAUGCUCCGCUCCAUCGCAUGGUGGGGUGGGAAAUGCUUUUGCGGCAUGGGAUGGGGUCGCGUCCUAUCAGCUUGUUGGCGGGGUGAUGGCCCACCAAGGCGUUGACGGGUAGCCGGCCUGAGAGGGUGACCGGCCACAUUGGGACUGAGAUACGGCCCAGACUCCUACGGGAGGCAGCAGUGGGGAAUAUUGCACAAUGGGCGCAAGCCUGAUGCAGCGACGCCGCGUGCGGGAUGGAGGCCUUCGGGUUGUAAACCGCUUUUGUUCAAGGGCAAGGCACGGUUUCGGCCGUGUUGAGUGGAUUGUUCGAAUAAGCACCGGCUAACUACGUGCCAGCAGCCGCGGUAAUACGUAGGGUGCGAGCGUUAUCCGGAUUUAUUGGGCGUAAAGGGCUCGUAGGCGGUUCGUCGCGUCCGGUGUGAAAGUCCAUCGCCUAACGGUGGAUCUGCGCCGGGUACGGGCGGGCUGGAGUGCGGUAGGGGAGACUGGAAUUCCC